rnacentral:tRNA from 1 species
GCACCAGUGGUAUAAUGGCAUACAGCAUUACCGCGCGGUUAGAGGGAGGUGCGGGUUCGAGUCCCGCCUGGCGCU